rnacentral:rRNA from 1 species
GACGAACGCUGGCGGCGUGCCUAAUACAUGCAAGUCGAGCGCAGGAAACUGAUGGAACUCUUCGGAGGGAAGGCAGUGGAAUGAGCGGCGGACGGGUGAGUAACACGUAAGGAACCUGCCUCAAGGAUUGGGAUAACUCCGAGAAAUCGGAGCUAAUACCGGAUAGUUCAACGGACCGCAUGGUCCGCUGAUGAAAGGCGCUUCGGCGUCACCUUGAGAUGGCCUUGCGGUGCAUUAGCUAGUUGGUGGGGUAACGGCCCACCAAGGCGACGAUGCAUAGCCGACCGGAGAGGGGGAUCGGCCACACUGGGACUGAGACACGGCCCAGACUCCUACGGGAGGCAGCAGUAGGGAAUCUUCCACAGUGGACGAAAGUCUGAUGGAGCAACGCCGCGUGAGUGAUGAAGGUUUUCGGAUCGUAAAACUCUGUUGUAAGGGAAGAACACGUACGAGAGGAAAUGCUCGUACCUUGACGGUACCUUACGAGAAAGCCACGGCUAACUACGUGCCAGCCGCCGCCGUAA